rnacentral:rRNA from 1 species
CAGUAGCCGCGGUAAUACGUAGGGUGCAAGCGUUAAUCGGAAUUACUGGGCGUAAAGCGUGCGCAGGCGGUUAUAUAAGUCAGAUGUGAAAUCCCCGGGCUCAACCUGGGAACUGCAUUUGAGACUGUAUGGCUAGAGUGUGUCAGAAGGGGGUAGAAUUCCACGUGUAGCAGUGAAAUGCGUAGAUAUGUGGAGGGAUACCGAUGGCGAAGGCAGCCCCCUGGGAUAACACUGACGCUCAUGCACGAAAGCGUGGGGAGCAAACAGGAUUAGAUACCCGGGUAGUCCCUGUCUCUUAUAC